AUUGAACGCUGGCGGCAUGCCUUACACAUGCAAGUCGAACGGCAGCACGGGGGCAACCCUGGUGGCGAGUGGUGAACGGGUGAGUAAUGCAUCGGAACGUGUCCUCUUGUGGGGGAUAACCAGUCGAAAGAUUGGCUAAUACCGCAUGAGAUCGCAAGAUGAAAGCGGGGGACCGCAAGGCCUCGCGCGAGAGGAGCGGCCGAUGCCGGAUGAGCGAGUUGGUGGGUAAAAGCCUACCAAGGCGAAAAGCCGUAGCUGGUCUGAGAGGACGACCAGCCACACUGGGACUGAGACACGGCCCAGACUCCUACGGGAGGCAGCAGUGGGGAAUUUUGGACAAUGGGCGCAAGCCUGAUCCAGCCAUGCCGCGUGUGUGAAGAAGGCCUUCGGGUUGUAAAGCACUUUCGGACGGAACGAAAUCGCGCGGACGAACAUUCCGCGUGGAUGACGGUACCGUAAGAAGAAGCACCGGCUAACUACGUGCCAGCCGCCGCCGUAAGAC
rnacentral:rRNA from 1 species